rnacentral:misc_RNA from 1 species
GUUUGUGAGGGCGAGAGAGAGGAGAGAAGAAGGUAGAGAAAUCGAGAAAGAAAAGAUGCAAAACCCAUUUUAGCCUCAGUUGGUUCUUCUAAUUCCUCAACCUCAUCUCUCUCUCUCUCUCUCGCUUACGCACAAUUUUUCUUAUCCCUCUUAAAUCCAUUUUUACCUCCUUUGGUUGCAUACUUCAAUUUCAUACAUGAAGAUUUUGUUUUGAUCAGCCGAUUUGGUGGUGCUGAUUGUGGGUUUUCUUUUUCAUCUUCCUCACAAUCCACCCCUCCUUUUGUUUUAUUU